rnacentral:rRNA from 1 species
UGCCAGCCGCCGCGGUAAUACGGAGGGGGCUAGCGUUGUUCGGAAUUACUGGGCGUAAAGCGCGUGUAGGCGGUUCGUUAAGUCUGAUGUGAAAGCCCGGGGCUCAACCCCGGAAGUGCAUUGGAAACUGCACAGCUAGAGUAUGGGAGAGGGAAGCGGAAUUUCCGGUGUAGCGGUGAAAUGCAUAGAUAUGUAGAGGAACACCGAUAGCGAAGGCAGCUCACUAGACUAUUACUGACGCUGAGGUACGAAAGCGUGGGGAGCGAACAGGAUUAGAUA